CGAACGGGUGCGUAACACGUGAACAACCUGCCCUCGUGUGGGGGGAUAGCCAUGCUAACGCGUGGGUAAUACCGCAUACGUUCCUUUGGGGGAGUCUUCGAGGGAAGAAAGCUCUGGCGCACGGGGAGGGGUUCGCGGCCUAUCAGCUAGUUGGUGCGGUAACGGCGCACCAAGGCGACGACGGGUAGCUGGUCUGAGAGGAUGGCCAGCCACAUUGGGACUGAGAUACGGCCCAG
rnacentral:rRNA from 1 species